rnacentral:rRNA from 1 species
UGACUGGGGCGGUCUCCUCCCAAAGAGUAACGGAGGAGCACGAAGGUUGGCUAAUCCUGGUCGGACAUCAGGAGGUUAGUGCAAUGGCAUAAGCCAGCUUGACUGCGAGCGUGACGGCGCGAGCAGGUGCGAAAGCAGGUCAUAGUGAUCCGGUGGUUCUGAAUGGAAGGGCCAUCGCUCAACGGAUAAAAGGUACUCCGGGGAUAACAGGCUGAUACCGCCCAAGAGUUCAUAUCGACGGCGGUGUUUGGCACCUCGAUGUCGGCUCAUCACAUCCUGGGGCUGAAGUAGGUCCCAAGGGUAUGGCUGUUCGCCAUUUAAAGUGGUACGCGAGCUGGGUUUAGAACGUCGUGAGACAGUUCGGUCCCUAUCUGCCGUGGGCGCUGGAGAAUUGAGGGGGGCUGCUCCUAGUACGAGAGGACCGGAGUGGACGCAUCACUGGUGUUCGGGUUGUCAUGCCAAUGGCACUGCCCGGUAGCUAAAUGCGGAAGAGAUAAGUGCUGAAAGCAUCUAAGCACGAAACUUGCCCCGAGAUGAGUUCUCCCUGAGACUUUAAGUCUCCUGAAGGAACGUUGAAGACGACGACGUUGAUAGGUCGGGUGUGUAAGCGCAGCGAUGCGUUGAGCUAACCGAUACUAAUGAACCGUGAGG